rnacentral:rRNA from 1 species
UACGGGGGGGGCAAGCGUUGUUUGGAAUUACUGGGCGUAAAGGGCUCGUAGGCGGCCAACUAAGUCGGACGUGAAAUCCCCAGGCUCAACCUGAGAACUGCGUCCGAUACUGGAUGGCUUGAAUCCGGGAGAGGGAUGCAGAAUUCCAGGUGUAGCGGUGAAAUGCGUAGAUAUCUGGAGGAAUACCGGUGGCGAAGGCGGCAUCCUGGACCGGCAUUGACGCUGAGGAGCGAAAGCUAGGGGAGCAAACGGG